UGCAGCUCUAUUGCAGAAGAUUACCCAUCCAUCGACUUAGAAUCUUGGAAGCCAGAUAUAGAUGAUGACAGCAGUCAAGAUAAAGCACCCAGAGCUCACUUGAAAUGCCCCGAUUCUACCCAAAUAUCUGCUGUUAAUUUUGCAAGCUUUGGGAAUCCGGCAGGAUCUUGUGGAUCUUACAGCUUGGGGGACUGCCACGAUCCCUCGUCCAAAUCCGUGGUUGAAAAGGCCUGCCUAAACAGAAAUGAAUGUACUAUAGAGCUAACCGAAGGGGACUUCAGUAAGGACCCGUGUCCUGGUUCGACGAAGAAACUAGCCGUGGAAGCAGUCUGCAUGUGAUAUUGAACUAGCAGAGAGCAGAUCAGAAGCCGGAGGUUCCAUUCCAUGAUAUCUUUUCUACUCUCUAUUUCGCGAAAGUAGCUACUCGGCUUAUAAUUUGUGAGAUUUAGGUUCUUUUCCAUUUUCCAGCAAAAGCUGUGCAGAGGACAUGCUAGUUUGCGAUAUCAAUCGGCUUUACUAUGUCAGAAGGCAUCAAACAGUGCUCUCUGAAAUUUACCCACGGUGCAUAUUUAUGAAUAAUUGCAAGAUCUGCGACAUAGA